CUGGGGGAAGGGAGGGUUUUUCAGGCUCCUGACUUUACGGCAUCAGGCCUCCUAUGUCUUAACAUAUUCAAGAUCAGCAAAGUAUUAAAAUAUUCAAGAUGACAGAACAUGAAGCCUAAUCCCAGAAAUGUAGCAGGGUGGAUGUGUGACAGGGGCAGAUGCAGAGAGACUCCCCAUCACCUGCACGGAGUCCAUCUUCACCUCCAGAGACACUUAAUUAAAAAGGACGCAGAAGGGAGCAAACAUCCUUAAUGGCCCUUUCCAUGUAUCCCCACAUGAAGAUACCAGUGAAAACCGAGUGACAGCUUCGUGUGUCCUUGUCCCCUCGUUACAUGGACUUACAUCUUUUUGGUGACAAGAUUCCACCUUGGAAGAUGUUAAUGGAGAAAUGUGGAAGUGGAGAAAUAUGAGCGGCAGAAGCUGUUUUAAUUGCAUCUGAAAGAGAAGACAUGGCCACCAUAAGAUUAGAACAUACUCUCAAAAUGUCAAAAAGAGAAAAACGGAAGAGUGUGAAGCAGCUGAGGAUGGGAACUUUCACUGACCCUGGAACUCAGGGAUUUGGCGAGAGCAGCUGACCAUCAAGCCUCAGGCAUCUUGCUGCCUCUCUUCAUCUGCAAUAGAAGGGCAGAUAUAUGCUGCUAUGCCUUCUUGCUUGGUUUUGUUUUUAGACAUUGACUUAACUCAGGUCCUCAUGCUUUCACAAUAUACAUCUACAUUUCCCCCAGACGGCAACAAAUGCACCUGGCGAAGCAAGCCGGCCCUCACUGGGCGAUGCCAGCCUGCCCUCACUGGGCGAAGCCAGCCUGCCCUCACUGGGCGAAGCCAGCCUGCCCUCACUGGGCGAAGCCAGCCUGCCCUCACUGGGCGAAGCCAGCCUGCCCUCACAUCCAGGAUGCAUCGGAUUUGUUUCCUUUCUCCUCGGCGGUAACUGGUGUAACAAUCCAGGAUCACAACAGCCAAUGAUUCCUAGACAAAUUGUUGAAGCGCAGCUAGAGAAGACUGGAGGAUAUAUUGGCCAGGGACUUUGGGAAAGAUAAAGUUGUGGGAAAGAUGGUCAUUCUUGACCAAGGUCAUUGUCUUAGCAGACUUUUAUACUGUUUGUUCAAGGAUGGAGCAACAAUGGGAAGGAGAAAAAAAUAGAAUCAUAAAGAAACAGGCCAAGCCUCCUCCUCCAUAUACUCAUUCUUGCAAACCAAUGUAAGCUAGAGAGUUCCCUGAUUAACGCAGGCUGCACUUUCUGUUUCCUGCUUCCUAAGCCAUCAGCUUCACACAGACGCUGUUAUGUACCAGAACAGGUACAAGAGCAGAUACCAACAAUCAAACCAUGACAACAACGAAAAUACCUAUGACAUUUUCAAGGCGCUGUAUUCUUAAAAGAGCCUUUAACACGUUUUAAUGGAGUCAGUAGUCUACAGCAGUGUGACACACAGCUACGGUUACAAUGGGGUUUUGUUUUGUUUAGAAAGUUGGACCUCAGUCUGAAGGGAUCAAACUGUAUAGUCAGAAUUGCCUGGAGAAUCCUACCUUUCCACCCUUGUAAAUCAGCUGCUUUCCAUUUUCUCUUCCACUACUCAUCUGAUAAACUAUAUUUAUUAAAGGCUCAUG